rnacentral:rRNA from 1 species
UACGUAGGGGGCGAGCGUUGUCCGGAUUUAUUGGGCGUAAAGAGCGUGUAGGCGGCUUGGUAGGUCUUGCGUCAAAACCUGAGGCUCAACCUCAGUUCGCGUGGGAAACCAUCUAGCUAGAGUCCGGAAGAGGAGAACGGAAUUCCCAGUGUAGCGGUGAAAUGCGCAGAUAUUGGGAAGAACACCAGUGGCGAAGGCGGUUCUCUGGGACGGUACUGACGCUGAGACGCGAAAGCGUGGGGAGCGAACAGG